rnacentral:rRNA from 1 species
AUACGUAGGGUGCGAGCGUUGUCCGGAAUUACUGGGCGUAAAGAGCUCGUAGGUGGUUUGUCGCGUCGUCUGUGAAAUUCCGGGGCUUAACUCCGGGCGUGCAGGCGAUACGGGCAUAACUUGAGUACUGUAGGGGAGACUGGAAUUCCUGGUGUAGCGGUGAAAUGCGCAGAUAUCAGGAGGAACACCGGUGGCGAAGGCGGUUCCCUGGGCAGUAACUGACGCUGAGGAGCGAAAGCAUGGGUAGCGAACAGGAUUAGAUCCCCUGGUAGUCCAUGCCGUAAACGGUGGGCGCUAGGUGUAGGGGUCUUCCACGACUUCUGUGCCGUAGCUAACGCAUUAAGCGCCCCGCCUGGGGAGUACGGCCGCAAGGCUAAAACUCAAAGGAAUUGACGGGG